UUGCAGUUUUGAUUGUAUCAGUUCAGUAACACGCAACAACAAAGUGAAAACAGAGUUUCAGAUGGUUAUAAACAAGACAAUGGCGCAACCAAGUGAUGAGGCCAAAAGAGAGCAAUUGGUGACUUCACUCCAACAUGCCGGCAUCUUUGAAACUCUGGACAGCAUCCACAAGCGUGUCCUCUAACGCCCGAUACUUCCAACCCAAUCUUUGCAGCUUCUCCGAGCUCAGACUUACCGACUCCGCCUUCCCUUCAAUCAACUUCUUUGGAUAGCUAUAAUCAGGGUACUUCCUCUUCAAUGCAUCCACCAGCUCCCUUGUCUCAAUUGUAUGCGCGGUACAGAUAUACCUUCCUUCUGCCUCCCCCUUCUCAUAUAAAAGAACUAGCGCCUCUGCUACAUCUCGUACGUCUACUAACAUCCGUAGCCUGUUUUCCAUCGACUCACAUCCUUCUUUUAGAAUUUUGAGAAGGACCAAGCUGCUGGCGUUGACUGUUGCCUGCAAAACCGGCCCGAUAACGAGAGUAGGACACAUAGUCACAACGUCGAG
rnacentral:misc_RNA from 1 species